rnacentral:rRNA from 1 species
GGGGAAUAUUGGACAAUGGGCGAAAGCCUGAUCCAGCAAUGCCGCGUGAGUGAUGAAGGCCUUAGGGUUGUAAAGCUCUCUUACCCGGGAUGAUAAUGACAGUACCGGGAGAAUAAGCUCCGGCUAACUCCGUGCCAGCAGCCGCGGUAAUACGGAGGGAGCUAGCGUUGUUCGGAAUUACUGGGCGUAAAGCGCGCGUAGGCGGUUACUCAAGUCAGAGGUGAAAGCCCGGGGCUCAACCCCGGAACUGCCUUUGAAACUAGGUAACUAGAAUCUUGGAGAGGUCAGUGGAAUUCCGAGUGUAGAGGUGAAAUUCGUAGAUAUUCGGAAGAACACCAGUGGCGAAGGCGACUGACUGGACAAGUAUUGACGCUGAGGUGCGAAAGCGUGGGGAGCAAAC